AUGUAUUAUGCGUCACCAAUCGAAAAUGAACAAAAAGAGGAGAGGCGCAUAAUGGAAAUAAAGGUCUCAGUUAAAUUGCCAUUUGAGCUAAUAAUCCUAAAGGAGAGAGAGCCUUGGAUGUCUAUGGUACAGUCAUGUGGGGGCUUUCACCGGAGGCAACUUCGACACUCCCACAUCCGCGCCUACCGGCAGACGAGCAAACUGCCUACCGCGCCUCCGCCACAGCCCCCGCGCGCGCUGGCAUGGCAUCUGGCGAGCAACCGAGCCACUGCACACCGGCUCCGUUGCCUGCAGCCACCAAUCGGGGUGAGCUACACCACCACGGCACAGGGACUCCGCCCUUGCCCCCGUGCACCGACGAGCACGCUGUCACUGCCCCAGCUGUUGCAGCAAACACGCCGGCGCUGCCAGCCAGGAAGUGGCUGCCUAGCCGCCGCGGGCGAGAAGAGCAGAGCAGCGCUUGGCUGGUGUUAG
rnacentral:rRNA from 1 species